GGUGGUUCUUGUUGCUGAGUGUCUUGGCCUGGAUCAGUUCUCUUUCUGCCUUUCAGACUAUGUAUAUAUUCAACAGGACAUAUGACAUACUGAUGCUACAACCAUAUAGAUUCAUGGAAUGAUUUGGAAAAGCCCAAUGUCUGUUACUAUUUAUUCUCUUUUAAAAAUAAUUUUUGAUACUAAUACAUCAGAAUUAUAGUCAAAUUAUUCUUCGUCUUUUUUUUAGAGUUCCUUACUCUGUUUCAAAGUACAAGUUGUUAACUGUUUUGUUUCUAGAUUUCCCCCCCAAUGUUUUCCCCGCUACGGAAUUUAUUUUCUUCUGGCUUGCUUGAUAUUUCCCAAUAAAACUUUUAGUCUACGAGAGC
rnacentral:lncRNA from 1 species